AUGGCUUCACCAUACUUACUUUUGAAGUACUUUUCUGUAGUGGCUUAUUUUCUUGAGUCAUGUUCUGUAUCUUUAUUCUUCUUUCUUCUCACAGAAGUCAAGUGGAUCUCUCACAUUAGAGGAGUACAUCCCAAAGAAUCGUGGAGAAUUUCUGGAAAAUGGAACAUCGAGACGACAUUCACAAUGCCGACCUCUCUCUCUGCACCCUCUUUACCGUUCACUCUGCCAACACCAAGGGAAAGAGAAAGAUAAACUGUUUUAUGUAAGCGCCCAAGGAGAUCUGUUUACGGAGGCAGAAAACAUUCUGGAAGGCUCAGCCUCUGGGAGCGGUCGGGGCCUCGCCGCCCACGCCCAGCCCGAGCAGCCAGGACCGGGUUCCCGGAGAGUGCUCUGACCCACAACUGUUCCUUGAGAUCUAACAUAUUUGAAAAUAAAUAAAAUAGAAGUUUAAAAAAAUGGAAGUCU
rnacentral:lncRNA from 1 species